CUGCUGCCUUCCGUAGGAGUCUGGUCCGUGUCUCAGUACCAGUGUGGGGGACCUUCCUCUCAGAACCCCCUACGCAUCGUCGCCACGGUGGGCCGUUACCCCGCCGUCUAGCUAAUGCGCCGCAUGCCCAUCCUCUUCCGAUGAAUCUUUCCUCGAUCUCGGAUGCCCGAAACCGAUAUACGCGGGAUUAGCCUCCCUUUCGGAAGGUUGUCCCCCUGAACGAGGGUCAGGUUGCAUACGUGUUACUCACCCGUGCGCCGGUCGCCGG
rnacentral:rRNA from 1 species